UCACCAGUAGCAUACAGAGAGAGAACCAGAGAAAAGAUAUAGCGCCAUCGUCAUGGGAACCGUUAUCGACUCCCAUUUCUUAGGCCUAACUGCCAUUGUCACUGUGGGUUAUCAGUUUUUGUUCUUUAUAGUCACAGCCCUUCUCAAAUUCGAUAAAGUCACUGACUUUGCCG